UACAGAGGUCUCAAGCGUUGUUCGGAUUCAUUGGGCGUAAAGGGUGCGUAGGUGGCGCGCUAAGUCAGGUGUGAAAUUUCGGAGCUUAACUCCGAAACUGCAUUUGAUACUGGCGUGCUUGAGGACUGGAGAGGAGACUGGAAUUCAUGGUGUAGCAGUGAAAUGCGUAGAGAUCAUGAGGAAGACCAGUGGCGAAGGCGGGUCUCUGGACAGUUCCUGACACUGAGGCACGAAGGCCAGGGGGAGCAAACAGG
rnacentral:rRNA from 1 species